rnacentral:lncRNA from 7 species
ACAGAGCAUCACAUCAUUUCUCUGUGCUGGUGACUGAUUUUGUUACAGUUUUACUCACCUGUCAGCUUUAUCAAAGCUGUGUUCAGGACAGAUGUGAGGAAUCCAUAAACUUCAGCUCGCCUUGGUUGGUCUCAAGUGCAGAAGAGUGCUGAUGACAGUGUUUUAUUUCUGAAUCAUUCCAUGCCUAAAUGUGGGCUCCUCUCAUCCAAAGGAAUGACUGCACACACAAACUGUGUUGUUCUGCGCAUUGAGCUGCUGGGAUUAGAUAUACUCUGACUGAACGCAGUGACCUUCAAAUGCUUCCAUGGAAGAAGAUCUGUUUCUUAAGCCAAAUAAUUAACCACUGCAGGAUGGAUGUUGCCUCAGUAUCUAUUGAAUUUCUUGCACAGGGUGUAAUCACUCACUACUUAAUUGCUAUGUAAUUUUAUUAUUAUCUGUAAAAUGUUUUUCAGAAAGGAAAGAUAUAAUUGUAAAUGGUCUGAUGUAAACUGACCUAUUUCUAGUGACUUUCAGUAAUUACAAGUCCCUAGCUGGUAUAAAUGAGUAACUGCAAAGAGCUGUUCUGAUUUAAGUGACCUGCUCUACAUUUCCAGUAUAGGAGCUGAAUGCACAAGUGUGACACAUCCAGUGUGGAUGUGUUCUCUGUGGUAUAACUUCCAAUGACACAGUGCCAGGGCAACUAAGACCCAAAUUAUCCACCACACUGCCCUCUUUCUGGUCUAUUCUGGCUACUCUGCUGCCUUCCAGGUCAUGCAAUAAGCACCCAUUUUGUAGUCUGAAAUUUGCAGCCAAAAUCAGACUUUGUACCAUCCCUUAGAGGCACAGGUUUUGUGACGUACCUUUCCUGUCCUACAUUACAGACAAGACUGAUGGGGAGUUCUUGCACUUAUUCUAACUUAUCGGUUGUACCAUACUGGUUAUCUGCCUUUUUUCUUUUUUAUGUCUUUCAACUAGAUCAGCUUAGUAAGCAUCCAUAGGCAUUAAGAUUUUUAUAGAACCUGGCAGAAAGAAGGGAUUCUGCCAUGUAACGAUAGCACUUCCAAUGACUGGCUCCUAUCUGCUAAUCCACUUCUACCUGAAGAUCAUCCACUGAGCUUUUGCAUUCACUUCCCACCAGCUGGGGAGAAGCUCAGCUGAAGUGGAUCUAAUUGUCUUCACAGACUCAGCUGUGUGUGUUUAGACAGUAAGGAUGGCCAAUGGCAUCCUGGGCUGUAUCAACAGGAGAAGUUCUAAGAGCUAUGUGGGAGAAUGAGAGAAAUUAGGUGUGAAAUGGAACAGGAGCAGUUCUAGUACACACGCAAGGAGGCACUUUUUACUGUGAGUACAAUCACAACAAUAUCUGUUCUGUAGAAGUUUUGUUGUUUUCUAUUCUUGGAUGUUUUUAAGAAUUGACUGGAUAAAGCCUUGAAAAUGUGGUCUGAUUUCAUGAUAAAUCCUGCUUUG